rnacentral:lncRNA from 1 species
UUCUAUCAAGGAUAUAGUGUACUUUGCAGUCAAUUUGCCCUAAAGUCUAAAAAUUUGAAUGGCUUGAACAUAACUUUUCUUAAUUGCUCUUAUGUUGAGGGAAUUCAAUGUCUUCAUACUCCAUCUGUUUACCUAUACAAAAUAUUGUUUAUUUGACGUGACCUGUAGCCUCAAUCUGGCAUAAAUCUUGCUUUUCCACCCAACAAGUAUAAUUUGGACAAAUUUAGGAAAUAAAAAUGUUUGUAAAGAAAUUUAAACAGCACAUUAGAUUCAUC